rnacentral:rRNA from 1 species
AUUGAACGCUGGCGGCAGGCCUAACACAUGCAAGUCGAACGGUAACAGGAAGAAGCUUGCCUCUUUGCUGACGAGUGGCGGACGGGUGAGUAAUGUCUGGGAAACUGCCUGAUGGAGGGGGAUAACUACUGGAAACGGUAGCUAAUACCGCAUAACGUCGCAAGACCAAAAAGGGGGACCUUCGGGCCUCUUGCCAUCGGAUGUGCCCAGAUGGGAUUAGCUAGUAGGUGGGGUAACGGCUCACCUAGGCGACGAUCCCUAGCUGGUCUGAGAGGAUGACCAGCCACACUGGAACUGAGACACGGUCCAGACUCCUACGGGAGGCAGCAGUGGGGAAUAUUGCACAAUGGGCGCAAGCCUGAUGCAGCCAUGCCGCGUGUAUGAAGAAGGCCUUCGGGUUGUAAAGUACUUUCAGCGGGGAGGAAGGGAGUAAAGUUAAUACCUUUGCUCAUUGACGUUACCCGCAGAAGAAGCACCGGCUAACUCCGUG